CUUAAAGUUUAGUUUUUAAGUAGUACCUGCCGGGUGAGAGUUUAACGGCCGCGGUAAUUUGACCGUGCUAAGGUAGCAUAAUCAUUUGUCUUUUAAUUGAAGACUGGAAUGAAAGGUGUAACAAGAAAUUUGCUGUCUUAGAAAAAUAAAUUGAAUUUUAUUUUUUAGUGAAAAAGCUAAAAUAAUUUUGUGGGACGAUAAGACCCUAUAGAUCUUUAUUAGAAGUAAAAUUUUAAAAUUUUAUAUUAAUUUUAUUGGGGCGAUAGAAAGAAAAAAGUAUCUCUUUGAAUUUUAAAAUAUAAAUAAAUAAAUAAGUUGCUUGAUCCUAAGUGAUAGAUUAAAAGAAAAAGUUACCUUAGGGAUAACAGCGUAAUAUUUUUUUAGAGUUCUUAUCGAAAAAAAUGUUUGCGACCUCGAUGUU
rnacentral:rRNA from 1 species